rnacentral:rRNA from 1 species
GUAGGUGGCAAGCGUUGUCCGGAAUUAUUGGGCGUAAAGCGCGCGCAGGCGGGUCCUUUAAGUCUGAUGUGAAAGCCCACGGGCUCAACCGUGGAGGGUCAUUGGAAACUGGGGGACUUGAGUACAGAAGAGGAAAGCGGAAUUCCAAAUGUAGCGGUGAAAUGCGUAGAGAUUUGGAGGAACACCAGUGGCGAAGGCGGCUUUCUGGUCUGUAACUGACGCUGAGGCGCGAAAGCGUGGGGAGCAAACAGGAUUAGAUACCCUGGUAGUCCACGCCGUAAACGAUGAGUGCUAAGUGUUAGGGGGUUUCCGCCCCUUAGUGCUGCAGCUAACGCAUUAAGCACUCCGCCUGGGGAGUACGGCCGCAAAGGCUG